AUUGAACGCUGGCGGCAGGCCUAACACAUGCAAGUCGAGCGGAUGAAGGGAGCUUGCUCCUGGAUUCAGCGGCGGACGGGUGAGUAAUGCCUAGGAAUCUGCCUGGUAGUGGGGGAUAACGUCCGGAAACGGGCGCUAAUACCGCAUACGUCCUGAGGGAGAAAGUGGGGGAUCUUCGGACCUCACGCUAUCAGAUGAGCCUAGGUCGGAUUAGCUAGUUGGUGGGGUAAAGGCCUACCAAGGCGACGAUCCGUAACUGGUCUGAGAGGAUGAUCAGUCACACUGGAACUGAGACACGGUCCAGACUCCUACGGGAGGCAGCAGUGGGGAAUAUCGGACAAUGGGCGAAAGCCUGAUCCAGCCAUGCCGAGUGUGUGAAGAAGGUCUUCGGAUUGUAAAGCACUUUAAGUUGGGAGGAAGGGCAGUAAGUUAAUACCUUGCUGUUUUGACGUUACCAACAGAAUAAGCACCGGCUAACUUCGUG
rnacentral:rRNA from 1 species